CCGAAAACAAAUAUAAACACGAGUUUAAAGAGUGACAUGAGUAGCGUAGCAGCAAUGCGUCGGGUAAUUUGGAAGGUGUUAAGAAGGCGACACGGAGUCUGAAGGGGGGGGGGGGGGUAGUUGGAAGGCAGCAGCUCGGUCUUUCAAGGGACGUUGGCCUCAGUAGUUGGCCGUAGGCGUCGUCACGGUGGUAUACAGAAGUGGCGGGACCCUGUGUGGUCGAGGCGCC
rnacentral:lncRNA from 1 species